UACGGAGGGGGCUAGCGUUGUUCGGAAUUACUGGGCGUAAAGCGCACGUAGGCGGCUUUGUAAGUUAGAGGUGAAAGCCUGGGGCUCAACUCCAGAACUGCCUUUAAGACUGCAUCGCUUGAAUCAUGGAGAGGCGGGUGGAAUUCCGAGUGUAGAGGUGAAAUUCGUAGAUAUUCGGAAGAACACCAGUGGCGAAGGCGACUCACUGGACAUGUAUUGACGCUGAGGUGCGAAAGCGUGGGGAGCAAACAGG
rnacentral:rRNA from 1 species